AGUGGAUGGGGAGCAACCUAGUUGUGCGUGUGUAAAGGUAGUGCCAAGAAAAGCGAUGAUCAUGUUGAAAAUCAAUUCCCGGUACCCGAAACCGACACAGGUGGGCAAGUAGAGAAUACUAAGGGGCGCGAGGUAACUCUCUCCAAGGAACUCGGCAAAAUGACCCCGUAACUUAGGGAGAAGGGGUGCCACCGAGAGGUGGUCGCAGUGAAGAGGCCCAGGCGACUGUUUAGCAAAAACAUAGGUCUCUGCAAACUCGAAAGAGGAGGUAUAGGGGCUGACGCCCCAGUGCCGGAAGGUUAAAGAAGUUGGUCAGUCUUAGGAUGAAGCUAGCGACUGAAGCCCCGGUGAACGGCGGCCGUAACUAUAACGGUCCUAAGGUAGCGAAAUUCCUUGUCGGGUAAGUUCCGACCCGCACGAAAGGCGUAACGAUCUGGGCGCUGUCUCGGAGAGAGGCUCGGCGAAAUAGGAUUGUCUGUGAAGAUACGGACUACCUGCAUUUGGACAGAAAGACCCUAUGAAGCUUUACUAUAGCUUGGAAUUGUGUUCGGGCUUCCUGUGCGCAGGAUAGGUGGGAGGCGUAGAAGGUAUUCUUGUGGGGAUACUGGAGCCAACGGUGAGAUACCACUCUCAGGAGGCUAGAAUUCUAACUUAAUUAAGGACAGUUUCAGGUGGGUAGUUUGACUGGGGCGGUCGCCUCCAAAAAGGUAACGGAGGCGUACAAAGGUUCCCUCAGACUGGUUGGAAAUCAGUCGAAGAGUGCAAAGGCAGAAGGGAGCUUGACUGCGAGAAGUACAGUUCGAGCAGGGUGGAAACACGGUCUUAGUGAUCCGACGGUGCUGUGUGGAAGGGCCGUCGCUCAACGGAUAAAAGUUACUCUAAGGAUAACAGGCUGAUCUCCCCCAAGAGUUCACAUCGACGGGGAGGUUUGGCACCUCGAUGUCGGCUCAUCGCAACCUGGGGCGGAAGUACGUCCCAAGGGUUGGGCUGUUCGCCCAUUAAAGCGGUACGUGAGCUGGGUUCAGAACGUCGUGAGGCAGUUCGGUCCAUAUCCGAUGUAGGCGUGAGAAUAUUGAGAGGAGCCUUCCUUAGUACGAGAGGACCGGGAAGGACGCACCGCUGGUGUACCUGUUAUGAUGCCAAUUGUAAACGCAGGGUAGCCAAGUGCGGAGAGGAUAACCGCUGAAAGCAUCUAAGUGGGAAGCCCACCUCAAGAUGAGUAUUCUGGUGUAAGGUCACGGGAAGACGACCCGUAAAUAGGCACGAGGUGGAAGUGCAGAGAUGUAUGAAGCCGAAGUGUACUAAUAGACCGUCGGCUUGACC
rnacentral:rRNA from 1 species